rnacentral:rRNA from 1 species
UACGUAGGGUGCAAGCGUUGUCCGGAAUUAUUGGGCGUAAAGGGCUCGUAGGCGGUCCAUCGCGUCGGGAGUGAAAAGCUGGGGCUUAACCCCAGUCCUGCUUCCGAUACGGGUGGACUAGAGGUAGGUAGGGGAGAUCGGAAUUCCUGGUGUAGCGGUGAAAUGCGCAGAUAUCAGGAGGAACACCAAUUGCGAAGGCAGCUCGCUGGGACGUUACUGACGCUGAGACGCGAAAGCGUGGGGAGCAAACAGG